rnacentral:rRNA from 1 species
UACGGAGGGUGCGAGCGUUGUCCGGAAUCAUUGGGCGUAAAGGGCGCGUAGGUGGCUUCUUAAGCGUGCGGUGAAAGCCUGGGGCUCAACCCCGGGUCGGCCGUGCGAACUGGGGGGCUGGAGCACUGUAGAGGCAGGCGGAAUUCCGGGUGUAGCGGUGGAAUGCGUAGAGAUCCGGAAGAACACCGGUGGCGAAGGCGGGUCUCUGGGCCGAAACUGACGCUGAGGAGCGAGAGCGUGGGGAGCGAACAGG